rnacentral:rRNA from 1 species
UGGGGAAUAUUGGACAAUGGGGGCAACCCUGAUCCAGCCAUGCCGCGUGGAUGAUGAAGGUCUUUGGAUUGUAAAAUCCUUUCGCUAGGGAAGAUAAUGACGGUACCUAGUAAAGAAGCUCCGGCUAACUCCGUGCCAGCAGCCGUGGUAAUACGGAGGGGGCUAGCGUUGUUCGGAAUUACUGGGCGUAAAGCGCGCGUAGGCGGAUUGUUAAGUCGGGGGUGAAAUCCCGGGGCCCAACCCCGGAACUGCCCUCGAUACUGGCGGUCUUGAGCCCGGGAGAGGCGAGUGGAAUUCCGAGUGUAGAGGUGAAAUUCGUAGAUAUUCGGAGGAACACCAGUGGCGAAGGCGGCUCACUGGCUCGAUACUGACGCUGAGGUGCGAAAGCGUGGGGAGCAAACAGGAUUAGAUACCCGUGUAGUCC